UGGCGAACGGGUGAGUAAUACAUCGGAACGUGUCCGCUCGUGGGGGACAACCAGCCGAAAGGUUGGCUAAUACCGCAUGAGUUCUACGGAAGAAAGAGGGGGACCCGCAAGGGCCUCUCGCGAGCGGAGCGGCCGAUGACUGAUUAGCCGGUUGGUGAGGUAACGGCACACCAAAGCAACGAUCAGUAGCUGGUCUGAGAGGACGACCAGCCACACUGGGACUGAGACACGGCCCAGACUCCUACGGAAGGCAGCAG
rnacentral:rRNA from 1 species